rnacentral:rRNA from 1 species
AUGAACGCUGACAGAAUGCUUAACCCAUGCAAGUCAACUUGAACUUCGGUUUGGGUGGCGGACGGGUGAGUAACGCGUAAAGAACUUGCCUCACAGCUAGGGACAACAUUUGGAAACGAAUGCUAAUACCUGAUAUUAUGAUUUUAGGGCAUCCUAGAAUUAUGAAAGCUAUAUGCGCUGUGAGAGAGCUUUGCGUCCCAUUAGCUAGUUGGAGAGGUAACGGCUCACCAAGGCGAUGAUGGGUAGCCGGCCUGAGAGGGUGAACGGCCACAAGGGGACUGAGACACGGCCCUUACUCCUACGGGAGGCAGCAGUGGGGAAUAUUGGACAAUGGACCAAGAGUCUGAUCCAGCAAUUCUGUGUGCACGAUGAAGUUUUUCGGAAUGUAAAGUGCUUUCAGUUGGGAAGAAAAAAAUGACGGUACCAACAGAAGAAGUGACGGCUAAAUACGUG